GCCGCCGUAGCUCAGCAGGCAGAGCGCCAGCCUUGUAAGCUGGUGGUCGCGGGUUCGAGUCCCGCCGGCGGCU
rnacentral:tRNA from 2 species